rnacentral:rRNA from 1 species
CCAGAGCGAGCUACCAUGCAGUCGAGCGGGGAAGGUGCUUUGCUACCUGACCUAGCGGCGGACGGGUGAGUAAUGCUUAGGAAUCUGCCUAUUAGUGGGGGACAACAUUCCGAAAGGAAUGCUAAUACCGCAUACGCCCUACGGGGGAAAGCAGGGGAUCUUCGGACCUUGCGCUAAUAGAUGAGCCUAAGUCGGAUUAGCUAGUUGGUGGGGUAAAGGCCUACCAAGGCGACGAUCUGUAGCGGGUCUGAGAGGAUGAUCCGCCACACUGGGACUGAGACACGGCCCAGACUCCUACGGGAGGCAGCAGUGGGGAAUAUUGGACAAUGGGCGGAAGCCUGAUCCAGCCAUGCCGCGUGUGUGAAGAAGGCCUUUUGGUUGUAAAGCACUUUAAGCGAGGAGGAGGCUCCUUUAGUUAAUACCUAAAGAGAGUGGACGUUACUCGCAGAAUAAGCACCGGCUAACUCUGUGCCAGCAGCCGCGGUAAUACAGAGGGUGCGAGCGUUAAUCGGAUUUACUGGGCGUAAAGCGUGCGUAGGCGGCUUUUUAAGUCGGAUGUGAAAUCCCUGAGCUUAACUUAGGAAUUGCAUUCGAUACUGGAAAGCUAGAGUAUGGGAGAGGAUGGUAGAAUUCCAGGUGUAGCGGUGAAAUGCGUAGAGAUCUGGAGGAAUACCGAUGGCGAAGGCAGCCAUCUGGCCUAAUACUGACGCUGAGGUACGAAAGCAUGGGGAGCAAACAGGAUUAGAUACCCUGGUAGUCCAUGCCGUAAACGAUGUCUACUAGCCGUUGGGGGCCUUUGAGGCUUUAGUGGCGCAGCUAACGCGAUAAGUAGACCCCCUGGGGAGUACGGUCGCAAGACUAAAACUCAAAUGAAUUGACCGGGGCCCGCCACAAGCGGUGGGACAUGUGGGUUUAAUCGAUUGCACGGCGAAGAACCUUACCUGGC